CAAAGAUUACAUGAAUUAGACAUUGAAAUAUAAGAUAGAAAACACCUAAAAUCGUUCAACAACUCAGAAUGAAGAGCCAAACAAUUGUAGAGAAUCUGUCCCCUUUCCUUGCUUGCGGCAGAUUGGGUGGUGACACUUCCUGGAUUGUUUUGAUGAUGUAGAAUGGAAUUUAGGGGGUGUAGAGGCACGGCAAGGGGUGUAGGAUGAGUGUGGAUGAGUGUUUGAUGGGUGGAAGGUGGUGGAGAGCUCGGCAAAGGUGAUGGAUGGGUGCAGCAGAUUGUAGACUAGGGAUUUCUGGAAUGUAGAAUGAAUAUGGCAGAUCGUGAUUCGGCCAAGAGGUUAUAAUGUGUAUAUAUAGGCAUCCAAAACCCUAGGGCAAUUAGAUUAGGGCCUCUAAAACCCAAAUCCAUCAGAAAUUAGGUUAAAACAAUCAGAUUUUUAGUGGGGAAAAGGCCUAGGGUGCGGCUGGUUUUGCUAGGGUUAGAGAUGGGCCUUCUAGAAUGCCUUGCAAGGCAAGGAAAUCAGGUAUUCUAGAAGGCUAGGGGCGGCAAAGGGUUAAGGUCCACAAGGAAUUAGGGUUUAGGUCCAUUUGGUUGUAGAAAGGGAUGUGUAUAACCCAAAUCCACAAGGAAAGGGCCUAACAAGUCAGAAUUCAAGAGAGAUUGGGCUAGGAAGGUGCGGCUCCAAUUUAGAACAAUAGAAACUCUCGAAAAUGGAAACCUCCAAGAAUAGAAACUUCCAACUUUAGAAACUUUGGUUGCCAAUUCCGACUUCUUUGUUCUUCACUUUCAUUUCUUCAUUUCUUAAGCUCCUUUGACCUUCAACUCGUCCAUUCCUUGUGCUCCAAGCAUGUACUUUCCAAUCUAAGCUCCAUUUUGCUCCACAAGGCUCCAAUUUGCAUCCUUUUAUGUAAUAUGCCCUUAAACCUGAAAACAUAUGAAACUAGCUUAAAAGACUACUUUAAACUAAGAAAACAUAACGAAAAUGCAUAAGAACUAGUUAACUAAGGUGCAUAAAUAUGCUCCUAUCAAAUUCCCCCACACUUAGCUUUUGCUAGUCCUCGAGCAAAACAAAGAACAAAACGAAACAAAACAAAUAAAACACAACCUAAACCUUCCAACAUUUGCCUCAGGGAUUUCCAAUGCACAUGACAUGUUAAAAAUCAUCAUCCCCACAGAUUUGAGUCAUCUUUACAUUUGAGCACAUACUUAAUCAUAGUCACCACUUACUAGUUCACAGUUAACCAAUUUAAACAAUGUUUUGAAUGUAGUAACAUGCAUUAGAGAAAUCACUCAAUUCCUUACAAGAUAUGCACUCAAUUUUCACUCAGAUUUUCUAACUACACACCCUAUACUAGUUAUAUGUGAGAAGAUUAAUGUAGAUAUGAAAACGAAUGCUCACAUAUAUGUAUUACCAAGAAAUCAAUUUCUGGAGUUAAUAAGCAUGUUUAGAUAUGAUCUCAUGAAUGGAAUGCUACUACUUAGAUGCGAGAACCAGGGACACCAUAUGCUCAUACCAAAAUCAAACUCCACAAAUUGAAACACAUAACACUCAAGAUGGAAGUCAAGGGUUGUAAUGGGGCUUGGGGUAUUGGUUAACAAAGAAUGGUAAGGGAAAACAAACGUUCUUAAAGCAAUAGUAAGCAAAGCAAUGAAAUCUAGACUUAGAAUUCACUUUAGAAUGCAGAAAUCACUUUUAGACAUAAGGGGAAGAUUCAAGCAAUAUUUAGGGCCGAAUUCGAUGUUUUGGACCCUUUCUUCAACAAACAAUACUUUGGGACUCUUUUUCACAUCUUUCCAACUCCUUUUCAUUCUUUUCACACACUUUUUCUUUUUCUUUUUCCACGAAUUUCAUUUCAUUUUUUUUUUCUUCUUUUUUUUCUUUUCUUGCCUCAUUCAAGACUUUGGCACACCCACAACAAAACUCACUUCCCCCACACUUGUUUUCUGCCAACAAUGACCAAAAGGAAUUCAUUUUGAGUCAUUCAUUAGUAUGCUUCAAGAACAAAGGUAUGGGUGGUCCUAAUCUAGGCCUCGUGAGGGUAAUGUGGGUUAACAAAGAAAAGGGCUAAACAAGGCUCAAUGGGGUUAAAACCUACAAAACGUAAUGACAUAGGGGAUUCACGGCUUUUUGGUUAUGGUGGUGGUAACUACACAACUUCAUCUUGAAUAUGUGUUAUGCAAUUCAAUAACAUGUUUUGAAUGAAUUUGGCAUGAGUUCUAGCAUUUGGAACUAAAUGAUGAAACGCCUUCUAAGUAAUAACCAAGCAAAGAAUAAUGAGAUCAUGCAACGACUUUAGAAAACAACAAUGCAUAGAUUUUAACUCUCCAAAUAAACGUUUAGGCUCAAGUCUCACAAGGUUGUAGCGUUUGUUUGAGUUCCUUCCUUCAAGCAUGUUACAAAAACUAAUUUUUUUUCUUUAUGAUUACAUGUGAAUUCAUAAGUUAUAACCACAAUCAAGCAUAAACAAAGAGUAAAUCAAACUUUCAUCCAUGUUAAUCAUUCUCUUUAACAGCCAUGCAAUUACAAACCGAAUCCUCAUCAUUGUGUUGGAAGGUACCCUAAGACACAAACAAACACACAAAAACAAAUCAAAACAACUCUUUUUGGUUUUUUUUUCAAAACAAUUUUUCAAUUUUUUUCUGGGAUUUUCGGAUUUUUAGAACAACACAUACUAAAACACACCAAAACAGCCUAAAAACACCUAAAAACAGCAACGAACAACGUUUGAAAUUAUGGGUGAUAAAACCCUACGAAUUUGUAUCAAAACACUUUGGUUACCCCCCACACUUAAAUCAAACAUUGUCCUCAAUGUUUCAAGCAUAAACUAACACAAAUAACCAACAAGCAAAGAAAACAACAACCAAACAAUCUAAAUGACAGAAACGAAAUAGCAACAAAGAGAAAGGUUUAGGAACACA
rnacentral:lncRNA from 1 species